rnacentral:rRNA from 1 species
AGUGAACGCUGGCGGCAGGCCUAACACAUGCAAGUCGAACGGCAGCACGGCAGUAGCAAUACUGUGGGUGGCGAGUGGCGGACGGGUGAGGAAUACAUCGGGAUCUACCCUGUUGUGGGGGAUAACGUAGGGAAACUUACGCUAAUACCGCAUAAGAACUGAGGUUGAAAGCGGCGGACCGCAAGGCGUCGCGCGAUUGGAUGAACCGAUGUCUGAUUAGCUAGUUGGCGGGGUAAAGGCCCACCAAGGCGACGAUCGGUAGCUGGUCUGAGAGGACGACCAGCCACACUGGAACUGAGACACGGUCCAGACUCCUACGGGAGGCAGCAGUGGGGAAUAUUGGACAAUGGGCGCAAGCCUGAUCCAGCCAUGCCGCGUGGGUGAAGAAGGCCUCGGUUGUAAG